rnacentral:rRNA from 1 species
UGGGGAAUCUUCCGCAAUGGACGAAAGUCUGACGGAGCAACGCCGCGUGAGUGAAGAAGGCCUUCGGGUUGUAAAGCUCUGUCUUUGGGGACGAACGUGCCUAUCAUAAAUAAUGAUAGGUAAUGACGGUACCGGGAGAAGAAGCUGCGGCUAACUACGUGCCAGCAGCCGCGGUAAUACGUAGGCAGCAAGCGUUGUUCGGAGUUACUGGGCGUAAAGAGUGCGUAGGCGGUUUUCUAAGUUCGGUGUGAAAUCUCCCGGCUUAACUGGGAGGGUGCGCCGAAGACUGGGAAGCUGGAGUGUGGGAAAGGCAGGCGGAAUUCCUGGUGUAGCGGUGAAAUGCGUAGAUAUCAGGAGGAACACCGGCGGUGUAGACGGCUUGCUAGACCAUAACUGACGCUGAGGCACGAAAGCGUGGGUAGCAAACA